ACAUCUACUUGACUGGAUUGAGAGACACACAUAGCUGGUCAAACACGAUUUCAGCCAUGAAUCAGGCAUAAAUAUUCUGAUGGUUAAUUGUAGACAUCUACUUGACUGGAUUGAGAGAACACACAUAGCUGGUCAAACACGAUUUCAGCCAUGAAUCAGGCAUAAAUAUUCUGAUGGUUAAUCGUAGACGUCUACUUGACUGGAUUGAGAGACACACACAGCUGGUCAAACACGAUUUCUGGGCAUAUCUAUGAGGGUGUUUCUGGAAGACACUGAGAUAACCAUGACCCAAUGUGGAUGGGCACUGAUAUGGUUUGGCUGUGUCCCCACCCAGAUCUCAUCUUGAAUUGUAGUUCCUGUAAUACCUACAUGUCGUGGGAGGGACCCAAUGGGAGGUGACUGAAUCAUGGUGGUGGUUACCGCCAUGCUGUUCUCAUGACAGUGAGUGAGUUCUCAUGAUCUGAUGGUUUUAUAAGGGGCUUUUCCCCUUUGGCUCAGCACUUCUUGUUGCUGCCAUGUGAAGAGGGAUAGCUUUGCUUCCCCUUCUGCCAUGAUUGUGAGGCCCCUGCAGCCAUGUGGAACUGUCAGCCCAUUAAACCCCUUUGUUCUUU
rnacentral:lncRNA from 10 species